rnacentral:rRNA from 1 species
UCGGAAGUGUGGGCCGGGAGGCGCUGGAAUACGUGGGGGGUGAGGGGUUUCGGGAAGGAUGGGGCGGAAAGAGCGCGUAGGCGGCUUGUGGCGUCGGAUGGGAAAGCGCGGGGCUGAACCCCGGGGCGGCAUUCGAUACGGGCAGGCUAGAGUGUGGCAGGGGAGACGGGAAUUCCUGGUGUAGCGGUGAAAUGCGCAGAUAUCAGGAGGAACACCGGUGGCGAAGGCGGGUCUCUGGGCCAAAUACUGACGCUGAGGAGCGAAAGCGUGGGGAGCGAACAGGAUUAGAUACCCCUGAGUC